AAAAGAGACGUGUGUCGAACAGGCACAUGGAUUGAUGGUACACAUAGAGUAAGCACCGGCUAACUUCGUGCCAGCAGCCGCGGUAAUACGAAGGGUGCGAGCGUUGUUCGGAUUUAUUGGGCGUAAAGCGUACGUAGGCGGAAGGUUAAGUCAGGUGUGAAAUCUCGGGGCUCAACCCCGAAAUUGCGCCUGAGACUGGCCAUCUAGAAUACUGAAGAGGGAGGGGGAAUUUCGCAUGUAGGGGUAAAAUCCGUAGAUAUGCGAAGGAACACCAGAGGCGAAGGCGCCUUCCUGGUCGGUUAUUGACGCUAAGGUACGAAAGCGUGGGGAGCAAACAGGAUUAGAUACCCUGGUAGUCCACGCCGUAAACGAUGAGCACUAGAUAUGGGAGGGUCGACCCUUUCCGUGUCGCAGCUAACGCAUUAAGUGUUCCGCCUGGGGAGUACGGUCGCAAGAUUAAAACUCAAAGGAAUUGACGG
rnacentral:rRNA from 1 species